rnacentral:rRNA from 1 species
UAGUUUGACUGGGGCGGUCUCCUCCCAAAGAGUAACGGAGGAGCACGAAGGUUGGCUAAUCCUGGUCGGACAUCAGGAGGUUAGUGCAAUGGCAUAAGCCAGCUUAACUGCGAGACGGACAGGUCGAGCAGGUACGAAAGUAGGUCAUAGUGAUCCGGUGGUUCUGAAUGGAAGGGCCAUCGCUCAACGGAUAAAAGGUACUCCGGGGAUAACAGGCUGAUACCGCCCAAGAGUUCAUAUCGACGGCGGUGUUUGGCACCUCGAUGUCGGCUCAUCACAUCCUGGGGCUGAAGUCGGUCCCAAGGGUAUGGCUGUUCGCCAUUUAAAGUGGUACGCGAGCUGGGUUCAGAACGUCGUGAGACAGUUCGGUCCCUAUCUGCCGUGGGCGUUGGAUGAUUGAAGGGAGUUGCUCCUAGUACGAGAGGACCGGAGUGAACGAACCUCUGGUGUUCGGGUUGUCACGCCAGUGGCACUGCCCGGUAGCUAAGUUCGGAAUCGAUAACCGCUGAAAGCAUCUAAGCGGGAAGCGAGCCCUGAGAUGAGUCAUCCCUGACCCCUUGAGGGUCCUAAAGGGCCGUUGGAGACCACAACGUUGAUAGGUGGGGUGUGUAAGCGCGGCGACGUGUUGAGCUAACCCAUACUAAUUACCCGUGAGGCUUAACCA